CCCACCGCAUGAAGGGCACACAUGGAGAGAGAGGCAUGCCCCAUUCUCUCUCCUCUCCAUCAGGGAAGGGUGAGAAACCCCUCUUGCAGGCAGCACAGCAGAGCCUGCAGCGCCAGGUAGCUGCAGAGCUGGGAACAGUGCCAGGAAGGUGGGGGUGGGGGUCAGGUGGGCUAGGAAAGGGUGUUCCUACACUGUGCCCCCACAGGAGCCUGUCCGGGAGGGUGCCCCCCCAAACUGGAAGAAGAAGGAGAAGCUACCCCAGGUCUCCAAGUCCUGGCAUAACUACAUGUGUAAUGAGGUGAUCCAGGACUUCCAGGCCUCCGUGCUGCAGGUCUCAGACUCCCCCUACGAUGAACAGCAGAGUCCUGCUCCCUUCUGGGUAGGGUGGCUGCACAAAUGCCCACAGUGCACUACGAGAUGCCCAAUGGCUACAAUACAGACUACGGCGCCGAGCGACUCCGCAUCCCCGAGGGCCUGUUUGAUCCCUCGAACGUCAAGGGCCUGUCGGGGAACACCAUGUUGGGUGUGGGCCACGUGGUGACCACCAGCAUCGGCAUGUGUGACAUUGAUAUUCGCCCGGGCCUGUAUGGGAGUGUCAUUGUCACCGGCGGGAACACACUGCUGCAAGGCUUCACUGACAGGCUCAAUCGAGAGCUUUCCCAGAAGACCCCACCGAGCAUGCGACUGAAACUCAUUGCCAGCAACAGCACCAUGGAGCGCAAGUUCAGCCCCUGGAUCGGGGGUUCCAUCCUGGCCUCACUGGGCACUUUCCAGCAGAUGUGGAUCUCCAAGCAGGAAUAUGAGGAGGGCGGGAAGCAGUGCGUGGAGCGAAAGUGCCCCUGAUGGCACUCCUCCCCACACACCUGCUCCCAAGCUCAGAUGGAAGUCCCUUAACCCCCAUGCCACAUUGCCCCCCUCCUCCUUUCCCUCUUGUCCUCAUAAAUGGU
rnacentral:sRNA from 1 species